GUGCUCGCUCUGGCAGCAUACGUACUAAAACUAAGACGAUACAGAGAAGAUUAGCAUGGCCCCUGCACAAGGGUGCCAUGAAAAUUUGUAAACUGUUCCAUAUUUUU
ensembl:snRNA U6 U6 spliceosomal RNA